GGUUAAGCGACUAAGCGUACACGGUGGAUGCCCUGGCAGUCAGAGGCGAUGAAGGGCGUGCUAAUCUGCGAUAAGCGCCGGUAAGGUGAUAUGAACCGUUAUAACCGGCGAUACCCGAAUGGGGAAACCCAGUGUGAUUCGUCACACUAUCAUUAACUGAAUCCAUAGGUUAAUGAGGCGAACCGGGGAACUGAAACAUCUAAGUACCCCGAGGAAAAGAAAUCAACC
rnacentral:rRNA from 1 species